rnacentral:lncRNA from 1 species
UUGUUUCUAUUCUCCUCUAUUCAGUCCUGCAAUGCGGCACUCUCAGCUUUGAGUUUUUGAAAUUCUUAUGGAAUAUGGAAUUAACUGACGAAUUCGUUGUCCCAAAUACUUGGAAAAGGUAUAAAGGUAUUCCUUGGAAUCUACACACUGGGGGUGACUACAUAACAAUUGAUCGAUCUCUGGGACUCAGUUACACGUUGGUUCGCAAGGUUAGGAAGGAAUUUGAUACAUCUUAAUGUCAUUUUUAGUUGGGGCACGAUCGAACGACAAACAAUCUGAAUCCCCUGCAAACACUAAAGGCAAACUUAGCAGUCGUAUCAAGAAUAAAUUCAAGGACGGUGCAGGAACCAAGUGGUCAAUGCCUGCUCGUUCUUUCGGCCUCGCAUAGAUAAGGUAAUUGAGA